rnacentral:misc_RNA from 1 species
AACGCACAUUGCGCCUCCUGGUAUUCCGGGAGGCACACCUGUUCGAGCGCCGUUUCAAUACUAAGGUAGAGCAUUUAUGUUCCAAACCUUGCGUUGAUGGAUCUCUGUGAAAAGGGACCGUCGAAACUCCUUCAAACGCCGACGGCGAUGGCAUACGCAGCGAAAUGCGAGGUGCGAUCGAUCGAGCGGUUGUUCGUUUUACGAAGUUUUGGCCUCGGAUCAGGUGGGGAUACCCGCUGAACUUAA